GUAUCAAGGUAAUGCUGGCCUCAUAAGUUGUCUCCCUUUAUCCAUGAGGGACAUCUUCCAAGGCCCCCAGUGGAUGUCUGAAACCGCAGCAUACUUUUGUCCAUAAAGCAAAAUCCGAAGAUUAGUGUUAAGAAACAGGAUUUGGAACUCUCAGAACAAGGCCAUUGGGGGUGGAGAUUUCUUACCUAUGGCUUAAAGAGGCUUCCGAGGUGAUCGGGCAGCAUCAGUCUUCAGCUGCUAAGCCGAGAAGAUCUGGGAAGGA
rnacentral:lncRNA from 1 species